UCGUAGGUGAACCUGCGGAAGGAUCAUAGUAAUCGUCUUUGACGUUCGCUUUUCCGUCGUCCUCGGGACGUUAAGGUGCUCUGGUCGAGGAUAAACGACCCCUCUGACCGAGGUGAAACCCGUCUCUCCGUGUUACCUCGAAAAACUGUUUUUCCGAGGCACACGUUAAAGAUUGUUCCGCGUUGUGAGUCUAACAUUGGUUGUAUGAACUUUUUACAACCGGUAGCGCUGGAUCCCUUGGCACGUCAUUCGAUGAAGACCGUUGCAAAUUGCGAUAAAGUGAUGUGAUGCGCAAGUCCACCACUUAUACGUGAAUCAUCGAGUUGUUGAACGCAUUGCACCGCGCCCUAAUCCGGCUGCGGUAUGCCCCUUUGAGCGUCAUUGUAUCCCUUCGGGAGUCCUUUUACAAGGACCCGAGUUCGGAGUCCUCGGUCCUCUCUGGAUCGUGUUCUCUCAGAUGCCUCGCGCCGAUCGCCUGAUGGGUCCUCUAAUGCCUAAGCGUGGAGUUCCUUCAGUCCAAGACGCGCUUGACCGGGUCUUGAGCCUGCGUCAUCAAGUCUGCCUAACCAGCGGUACUACAACGCAUGACCUCAUUGGGGUAGGACAACCCGCUAGACUUAAGCAUAUUAAU
rnacentral:rRNA from 1 species